CUCCUGGAAACGGGUGGUAAUGCCGGAUGUUCCACAUGAGCGCAUGCGAGUGUGGGAAAGGCUUUUUGCGGCAUGGGAUGGGGUCGCGUCCUAUCAGCUUGUUGGUGGGGUAACGGCCUACCAAGGCGUUGACGGGUAGCCGGCCUGAGAGGGCGACCGGCCACAUUGGGACUGAGAUACGGCCCAGACUCCUACGGGAGGCAGCAGUGGGGAAUAUUGCACAAUGGGCGCAAGCCUGAUGCAGCGACGCCGCGUGCGGGAUGGAGGCCUUCGGGUUGUAAACCGCUUUUGUUCAAGGGCAAGGCACGGUUUCGGCCGUGUUGAGUGGAUUGUUCGAAUAAGCACCGGCUAACUACGUGCCAGCAGCCGCGGUAAUACGUAGGGUGCAAGCGUUAUCCGGAUUUAUUGGGCGUAAAGGGCUCGUAGGCGGUUCGUCGCGUCCGGUGUGAAAGUCCAUCGCUUAACGGUGGAUCCGCGCCGGGUACGGGCGGGCUUGAGUGCGGUAGGGGAGACUGGAAUUCCCGGUGUGACGGUGGAAUGUGUAGAUAUCGGGAAGAACACC
rnacentral:rRNA from 1 species